rnacentral:rRNA from 1 species
UGAUACUAAGCCAUGCGAGUCAUUGUAGUAAUACAAGGCAGACGGCUCAGUAACGCGUAGUCAACCUACCCUAUGGACGGGAAUAACCUCGGGAAACUGAGUAUAAUGCCCGAUAGAACACUAUACCUGGAAUGGUUUGUGUUCCAAAUGAAUGUCGCCGUAGGAUGGGACUGCGGCCUAUCAGUUUGUUGGUGAGGUAAUGGCCCACCAAGACUAUUACAGGUACGGGCUCUGAGAGGAGUAGCCCGGAGAUGGGUACUGAGACACGGACCCAGGCCCUAUGGGGCGCAGCAGGCGAGAAAACUUUGCAAUGUGCGAAAGCACGACAAGGUUAAUCCGAGUGGUUUGUGCUAAACGAACCUUUUGACAGUCCUAGAAACACUGUUGAAUAAGGGGUGGGCAAGUUCUGGUGUCAGCCGCCGCGGUAAAACCAGCACCUCAAGUGGUCAGGAUGAUUAUUGGGCCUAAAGCAUCCGUAGCCGGCUCUGUAAGUUUUCGGUUAAAUCUGUACGCUCAACGUACAGGCUGCCGGGAAUACUGCAGAGCUAGGGAGUGGGAGAGGUAGACGGUACUCGGUAGGAAGGGGUAAAAUCCUUUGAUCUAUUGAUGACCACCUGUGGCGAAGGCGGUCUACCAGAACACGUCCGACGGUGAGGGAUGAAAGCUGGGGGAGCAAACCGGAUUAGAUACCCGGGUAGUCCCAGCUGUAAACUAUGCAAACUCAGUGAUGCAUUGGCUUGUGGCCAAUGCAGUGCUGCAGGGAAGCCGUUAGGUUUGCCGCCUGGGAAGUACGUACGCAAGUAUGAAACUUAAAGGAAUUGGCGGGGGAGCACCACAAGGGGUGAAGCCUGCGGUUCAAUUGG